AGCAUUCAACACACCCCAGAGGGUAACAAAUACAAAAAUAUUUCCCCAUAAAUCCUUAAACAUUCUAGGAAGACAUCCGUGCAAGCCGGAUUACUCUCAAGCCCAAUAGCUAGCCCAACCACCUAAUACAAAUUAACCAAUAUUAAUAACCCCUCACGCAGGAAAUAACCUAAAACAAACCAUUUUACCCUCUUAGUAUGGGAGACAGAAAAGAGAUUACGGCGCAAUAAAGAAAGUACCGCAAGGGAAAGCUGAAAAAGAAAUGAAACAACCCAGUUCGAAGCCUAACAAAGCAGAGA
rnacentral:rRNA from 1 species